rnacentral:rRNA from 1 species
UACGAGGGGGGCAAGUGUUGUUCGGAAUUACUGGGUGUAAAGGGAGCGCAGGCGGGCCUGCAAGUCAGAGGUGGAAGGCUUACGCUUAACGUAAUGCAUUGCCUUUGAAACUGCAGGUCUUGAGUGUUGGAGAGGGUAACGGAAUUCCAGGUGUAGCGGUGGAAUGCGUAGAUAUCUGGAAGAACACCAGUUGCGAAGGCGGUUACCUGGCCAAACACUGACGCUCAGGCUCGAAAGCUGGGGGA